UACGUAGGGUGCGAGCGUUGUCCGGAAUUAUUGGGCGUAAAGGGCUCGUAGGCGGUUUGUCGCGUCGGGAGUGAAAACACGGGGCUUAACCCCGUGCCUGCUUCCGAUACGGGCAGACUAGAGGUAUGCAGGGGAGAACGGAAUUCCUGGUGUAGCGGUGAAAUGCGCAGAUAUCAGGAGGAACACCGGUGGCGAAGGCGGGUCUCUGGGCCGAUACUGACGCUGAGGAGCGAAAGCGUGGGGAGCAAACAGG
rnacentral:rRNA from 1 species